rnacentral:rRNA from 1 species
GACGAACCGAGCGAACGUUGUUCGGAAUCAUUGGGCUUAAAGGGUGCGUAGGCGGGCUAUCAAGUCUGGGGUGAAAUGCCGCGGCUCAACCGUGGAACUGCCUCAGAUACUGACGGCCUCGAGGGGGGUAGGGGCAUGCGGAACUGUAGGUGGAGCGGUGAAAUGCGUUGAUAUCUACAGGAACUCCGGUGGCGAAAGCGGCGUGCUGGACCCCUUCUGACGCUGAGGCACGAAAGCCAGGGGAGCGAACGGG